AUUCCAGCUCCAAUAGCGUAUAUUUAAGUUGUUGCAGUUAAAAAGCUCGUAGUUGGAUUUCGGGUGUCAUCUGCCGGUCCGCCGUUUCGGUGUGCACUGGCGGGCGUCAUCUUUCUGUCGAGGACGCGCUCCUGUCCUUCACUGGUCGGGACGCGGAGUCGGCGAGGUUACUUUGAAAAAAUUAGAGUGUUCAAAGCGGGCUUACGCUUGAAUAUAUUAGCAUGGAAUAACACUAUAGGACUCCUGUUCUAUUUUGUUGGUCUUCGGGACGGGAGUAAUGAUUAAGAGGAACAGUUGGGGGCAUUCGUAUUUCAUUGUCAGAGGUGAAAUUCUUGGAUUUAUGAAAGACGAACUUCUGCGAAAGCAUUUGCCAAGGAUGUUUUCAUCA
rnacentral:rRNA from 1 species